rnacentral:lncRNA from 1 species
AUGAUUCCAAAUCAAAACCAAAACAUAUUCUUAAAACCAGAAACUUGUUCUAAAAAACUUAUUCUCAAGCUUCAUCGUCAACCAAAACAUAUUCUUAAAACCAGAAACUAUCUCUUAGUCAAUCCACUGAUCUUUGAAGCUUCAUCUUCCAUUCAUCUUAGACAUGCUCUCAUCUAGAAGCUUCUCCACAUGUCAAACACAUUGUGCCAAGGAAAUGCCAUUUCAAUCAGAAACAGAGGUUUAGAAGAGAGAGAUAUAUAAGCCAAAUGGUAAUCAAAAUUAAUAAGUACCAUUCUCACUGAUCGAGGACUAGGAUGAUUUAAAAGGCAACACAAGACAGUUCAAUCAUUCAAGUAUGCUCUCCGUUCAUCCUCUCCAGCAAACGCUGAUGACGUGCAGGUGAGAUUAAGAAGAAAUAGACAAAGAUUCUUUGUCGAUUCAUUACAACAAUUAAGAGGUCCAUCUUUAGAAAACACCACCGACCACCUUGAAAGAUCUUCUCAACAGCUGGCUCAGGAUAUGAAAUUGAGAAGGAA